UACGUAGGGUGCGGGCGUUGUCCGGAAUUAUUGGGCGUAAAGAGCUCGUAGGCGGUUUGUCGCGUCGACUGUGAAAACCCGAGGCUUAACCUCGGGCCUGCAGUCGAUACGGGCAGACUAGAGUUCGGUAGGGGAGACUGGAAUUCCUGGUGUAGCGGUGAAAUGCGCAGAUAUCAGGAGGAACACCAAUGGCGAAGGCAGCUCGCUGGGACGGUACUGACGCUGAGGCGCGAAAGCGUGGGGAGCAAACAGG
rnacentral:rRNA from 1 species